AUACGUAGGGGGCAAGCGUUGUCCGGAAUUACUGGGCGUAGAGGGUGCGUAGGCGGCCGAUCAAGUCAGAUGUGAAAUACCAGGGCUUAACCUUGGGGGUGCAUUUGAAACUGGUUGGCUUGAGUGCAGGAGAGGAAAGUGGAAUUCCUAGUGUAGCGGUGAAAUGCGUAGAGAUUAGGAGGAACACCAGUGGCGAAGGCGACUUUCUGGACUGUAACUGACGCUGAGGCACGAAAGCGUGGGGAGCGAACAGGAUUAGAUACCCUGGUAGUCCACGCCGUAAACGAUGGAUACUAGGUGUAGGGGGUAUCGACCCCCCCUGUGCCGGAGUUAACGCAAUAAGUAUCCCGCCUGGGGAGUACGGCCGCAAGGUUGAA
rnacentral:rRNA from 1 species